UACGGAGGGUGCAAGCGUUGUUCGGAAUCAUUGGGCGUAAAGAGCGUGUAGGCGGCCCGGUCAGUCCGCCGUGAAAGUCCAGGGCUCAACCCUGGAAUGCCGGUGGAUACUGCCGGGCUGGAGUCCGGAAGAGGCGAGUGGAAUUCCUGGUGUAGCGGUGAAAUGCGCAGAUAUCAGGAGGAACACCGAUGGCGAAGGCAGCUCGCUGGGACGGUACUGACGCUGAGACGCGAAAGCGUGGGGAGCAAACAGG
rnacentral:rRNA from 1 species